rnacentral:rRNA from 1 species
GAUGAACGCUAGCUACAGGCUUAACACAUGCAAGUCGAGGGGCAGCACAAGGUAGCAAUACUGAGGUGGCGACCGGCGCACGGGUGAGUAACACGUAUCCAACCUGCCGUUUACUCUUGGAUAGCCUUCUGAAAAGGAGAUUAAUACAAGAUGGUAUCAUAAGUUCACAUGUUCAUAUGAUUAAAGAAUUUCGGUAAACGAUGGGGAUGCGUUCCAUUAGAUAGUUGGUGAGGUAACGGCUCACCAAGUCAGCGAUGGAUAGGGGUUCUGAGAGGAAGGUCCCCCACACUGGUACUGAGACACGGACCAGACUCCUACGGGAGGCAGCAGUGAGGAAUAUUGGUCAAUGGGCGAGAGCCUGAACCAGCCAAGUCGCGUGAAGGAUGAAGGUCUUAUGGAUUGUAAACUUCUUUUAUAAGGGAAUAAAAAAGAUCACGUGUGGUCUAUUGCAUGUACCUUAUGAAUAAGCAUCGGCUAACUCCGUGCCAGCCGCCGCAGUAACAC